rnacentral:pre_miRNA from 1 species
CGAUUGGUUCUGGUUGGAAGAAUAGUGGGUAGAGCUCAAUGCUAGCUGCCGUGAAGUCUACCCACUUUCCUUCAAUCAGAGCCAAUCA